AUUGAACGCUGGCGGCAGGCCUAACACAUGCAAGUCGAGCGAGCGGCGGACGGGUGAGUAAUGUAUGGGGACUGCCCGAUAGAGGGGGAUAACAACUGGAAACGGUAGCUAAUACCGCAUACUAUCGGAUAACCCAUAGGGGAUUAGCUAGUUGGUGAGGUAAUGGCUCACCAAGGCGACGAACCCUAGCUGGUCUGAGAGGAUGGUCAGCCACCUGGGAACUGAGACACGGCCCAGACUCCUACGGAGGCAGCAGUGGGGAAUAUUGCCAAAUGGGCGCAAGCCUGAUGCAGCAAUGCCGCGUGUAUGAAGAAGGCCUUAGGGUUGUAAAGUACUUUCAGCGGGGAGGCGUUACUCGCAGAAGAAGCACCGGCUAACUCCGUGCCAGCAGCCGCGGUAAUUC
rnacentral:rRNA from 1 species